rnacentral:lncRNA from 1 species
CAUGAUAUUCUCUAUUGUGAUAGGGUGGGAGGGAGGAGAAUGCUGGGCCAUUGUGAUGUCUAUCUGUAGACUUUGAGUGUGAGAAUAAGAGAAUUCUUCCUCUGGUACUAUUCAACAGCAGCAGGUUUACACCCACUAGAGGAGAAAGCUUGGAAGACUAAAGACUUCAGGGAACACCCUUUUCCAUUUCAACCCAAGGGGCCCAUUCCUUCCUUAAUAUGGAAAAAAAAUCAAGUAUGCUCCGUGUUCUUGGAGGCAGAGAGAGAAGUCCCUUCCCUAAAUUUACAAUGCAUCCAAGGUUUUGACUAGAUAAAGGCAAAAAAUCAGCAGUUAGUGUCUAGUAGCCUACAAGAGAACGCAUUUGAGGAAAGAUAUUGAAAAGCUGGAAUACAUCUAGAGAAUAGCUACAUGGAUGAGAAAGGGAUUCAAAGUCAUACUGUGAAUAGAAAGAUUGAAACUCCUACAAAUGUUUAGCGUAAAGAAGAAACUACUGGGGGGAAAGAGUAUGAAGUUUAUGGAAAAAGAUAAUGGCCUCUCCAAAAGGUCCUCAUCUCAGUUUACAGAUUUGUUUCUGGAAAAAACAAAAAGGGGGAAACCCGAAGUUAGUGAAAAAACUAAAGAUGAUGCCUCUGUACCCGUCAAAAGAAGAAAGAUCGUUUUUGAACCCCCUAAAACUGCUACCAACUCUGGUCUCUUAAGAAAUAUUGAAAAUAAAAAAAUAUGGAACACAUAUCAGUCAGCUCUGUCACAGUCUAAGUCAACACCAUCAAAAAUACCAUUAUUUAUGAAUGAAAAACCCUCCCCUCCCUGGGAAGACGAGGGAAAAACGGAGGAAGAAUGUCUACUUGAUUCUUUAAGAAAAAUGGUUAAUGAAAACCAAGAGCUAAGGAAAGAAAAUGAAGAAUUGAAGCAAUUAAUUAAAGAAAUGAAGAAUUCUUUCCUACAUAGGUUAUUUACUCCAGACAUCCAUAUGACGACAAUAGACUAUCUACAGCAACUUUUGAGCCAUUUGGAAAAAACAGCUCCAACGAAUAUUUAUUCUUCAUUCCUAAGAGAUGACUUGAAUCUUCAGUGCUUUGACAAGAGGAGAGACAGAAAGAGAGACAAACAAACAGACAGAGAUGGAUAUGGAUAAUCAGCUGACCUGGCAAAGAUAAAAAUACAAAACCUUUGAUUAUAGAUCCUCGGGAUCCAGAUAAAUACUCCAAAGUGCUGGUGGACCAACUUAAAGUAUCUUCUGUAGUGAAGAAGGCAAAGCAGCAGAAAUAUUAUCGAGUAGCCUGCUUGUUAAAUGGACUUAUUGAUAUCUUGUUCAGUCCUGAGGAGCUGGCAAGUUCCCGUCAAUCAAGCCUGAAAGGGGAGUUUCCGAAAAAGAAAGAAGAUAAACUAGAAAAAGUUAAAAUUUUAGCUUGUGAAG